CACGUAGGGGGCGAGCGUUGUCCGGAUUUAUUGGGCGUAAAGAGCUCGUAGGCGGCUCAGUAAGUCGGGUGUGAAACCCCCGGGCUCAACCCGGGGACGCCACCCGAUACUGCUGUGGCUAGAGUCCGGUAGGGGAGCGUGGAAUUCCUGGUGUAGCGGUGAAAUGCGCAGAUAUCAGGAGGAACACCAGCGGCGAAGGCGGCGCUCUGGGCCGGUACUGACGCUGAGGAGCGAAAGCCAGGGGAGCAAACGGG
rnacentral:rRNA from 1 species